UACGUAGGGUCCGAGCGUUGUCCGGAAUUAUUGGGCGUAAAGAGCUCGUAGGCGGUUUGUCGCGUCUGCUGUGAAAUCCCGAGGCUCAACCUCGGGUCUGCAGUGGGUACGGGCAGACUGGAGUGCGGUAGGGGAGACUGGAAUUCCUGGUGUAGCGGUGAAAUGCGCAGAUAUCAGGAGGAACACCGGUGGCGAAGGCGGGUCUCUGGGCCGUAACUGACGCUGAGGAGCGAAAGCGUGGGGGAGCGAACAGG
rnacentral:rRNA from 1 species